UCCUCCAGAGCCAGCUUUCAGGGAACAAAGUCCGGACCGGCUGGUCGUCCAGGAAGAAGUCUUCCAAGUCCUCGUCCUCAUCCGCUGCGGGGAGCAGCCGUGGGCUGGCAUCGCUGUUGGCGUCUCCCCCUGGGCCGGCCCUGCAGCUCUUAG